GCGAGCGUUAUCCGGAAUUAUUGGGCGUAAAGAGCUCGUAGGCGGUUUGUCGCGUCUGUCGUGAAAGUCCGGGGCUUAACCCCGGAUCUGCGGUGGGUACGGGCAGACUAGAGUGCAGUAGGGGAGACUGGAAUUCCUGGUGUAGCGGUGGAAUGCGCAGAUAUCAGGAGGAACACCGAUGGCGAAGGCAGGUCUCUGGGCUGUAACUGACGCUGAGGAGCGAAAGCAUGGGGAGCGAACAGGAUUAGAUACCCUGGUAGUCCAUGCCGUAAACGUUGGGCACUAGGUGUGGGGACCAUUCCACGGUUUCCGCGCCGCAGCUAACGCAUUAAGUGCCCCGCCUGGGGAGUACGGCCGCAAGGCUAAAACUCAAAGGAAUUGACGGGGGCCCGCACAAGCGGCGGAGCAUGCGGAUUAAUUCGAUGCAACGCGAAGAACCUUACCAAGGCUUGACAUGUUUUCGACCGCCGUAGAGAUACGGUUUCCCCUUUGGGGCGGAUUCACAGGUGGUGCAUGGUUGUCGUCAGCUCGUGUCGUGAGAUGUUGGGUUAAGUCCCGCAACGAGCGCAACCCUCGUUCCAUGUUGCCAGCACGUAGUGGUGGGGACUCAUGGGAGACUGCCGGGGUCAACUCGGAGGAAGGUGGGGACGACGUCAAAUCAUCAUGCCCCUUAUGUCUUGGGCUUCACGCAUGCUACAAUGGCCGGUACAAUGGGUUGCGAUACUGUGAGGUGGAGCUAAUCCCAAAAAGCCGGUCUCAGUUCGGAUUGGGGUCUGCAACUCGACCCCAUGAAGUCGGAGUCGCUAGUAAUCGCAGAUCAGCAACGCUGCGGUGAAUACGUUCCCGGGCCUUGUACACACCGCCCGUCAAGUCACGAAAGUCGGUAACACCCGAAGCCGGUGGCCUAACCCUUG
rnacentral:rRNA from 1 species